rnacentral:rRNA from 1 species
UACGUAGGUGGCAAGCGUUGUCCGGAUUUAUUGGGUUUAAAGGGUGCGUAGGUGGCCCUGUAAGUCAGUGGUGAAAUAUCCCGGCUUAACCGGGAGGGUGGCAUUGAUACUGUAGGACUUGAGUAAAGCUGAGGUAGGCGGAAUUGACGGUGUAGCGGUGAAAUGCUUAGAUAUCGUCAAGAACACCGAUAGUGAAGACAGCUUACUAGGCUUCUACUGACGCUGAGGCACGAAAGUGUGGGGAUCAAACAGG